AUACGGAGGAUGCGAGCGUUAUCCGGAUUUAUUGGGUUUAAAGGGUGCGUAGGCUGUGCGUUAAGUCAGGGGUGAAAUGCCGUCGCUCAACGACGGAGCUGCCCUUGAUACUGGCGUGCUGGAGUACGGAUGCCGUUGGAGGAAUGAGUGGUGUAGCGGUGAAAUGCUUAGAUAUCACUCAGAACACCGAUUGCGAAGGCAUCUGACGAAUCCGUCACUGACGCUGAGGCACGAAAGCGUGGGGAUAGAACAGGAUUAGAUACCCUGGUAUUCCACGCCGUAAACGAUGAUGACUAACCGUCGGCGAUAGACAGCCGGUGGCCAAGCGAAAGCGAUAAGUCAUCCACCUGGGGAGUACGUUGGCAACGAUGAAACUCAAAUGAAUUGACGGGG
rnacentral:rRNA from 1 species